UUAACAGCACAGCAAACUGAAAUCCUCUAUUUAUCCAUAGAACAUGUACAACAUAAGCAAUAGGUUUGGCUGGCCAACAUACCUCAUUCCUACUCUGGAGAAACACCUGUAGGGACGAGAGUGUAGGUAAAUCACCUUGGGCAUUGAUUGAUUGGCCUGC
rnacentral:sRNA from 1 species